rnacentral:lncRNA from 1 species
CUUUCCCGCCUUGACGGUGACGCAAAACUGGAAUCCUCGUCCCAACUGUGGGCUUCUUUCGUUUUUACAGCAUCUGCGAGCAAUGAGUGAUCCAACCAAGAUUUAUGUAGAAGGAUGCUAAUUGCAACAAUAAGUGUUACAUUUAAAAGAGAAAAACUGGAAACAACUCUAGGAUCCAACAAUGGAGAAAAUGGUUAAAUAAUGCAUUAUUCCAGUUGGAGAUAUAAAGCAGAGAACCAUCAUUCUCAAAACUGUUCUGAGAGUCAGCAUGUCACCUCUUUCACUCCUCAAGCCUUCAGAAUUCCAAUGCUAAACAUUUCUCUGGCAUCUAAGGAACAAAACGUUCAGGAUAGAAAGGCUGUGAUACUACCCUGCUAGUAUCAAUCCACAUGCACCAGGUCCUGCUGAAGUGUUAAAUAGGUUGAUACAGGGAUGGAAUAAAACAAUAAAGUGUCUGAGAGAACUUCUGAGGAAAUAAUACUGUGCACCGCUUCUAGGGAAGGUGGCCCCUAGCUCUGCAUGACUAACAGCAGCCAUCACAGACACCAUGGCACAAGCAGCCCAAAUACUCAGGGAGACCCCACAUUGAGUGAGUUGUAUUUUAAUGCCCCUUCAGGAGAAACAAAUAUGCCUGUACCUAUUUUGAUACUGAAUAACAAAUUUGUUCCAUGGAAAUGUCCUAUUACUCAUUGA